AGCCAAUCAGGGGCCACGCAUAGUUGAGGCUUAGGCGCAGGCUGUAAGCCCGGUUUCCGGCUUAGGAUCAGGGUCUGGUGAAGGGGCUGGAGGCGCCAUGUCGGGCCGGGAAGGUGGCAAGAAGAAGCCCCUGAAACAGCCCAAGAAGCAGGCCAAGGAGAUGGACGAGGAAGAUAAGGCUUUCAAGCAGAAACAGAAGGAGGAACAGAAGAAACUCGAGGAGCUAAAAGCCAAGGCCGCGGGGAAAGGCCCCCUGGCCACAGGUGGAAUUAAGAAAUCUGGCAAAAAGUAAGCUGUUCCUCACAUCUGAGGUGAUGGUGACCCUCCUCUUCCAUUCCUAUUUAAACAUCUGGAUUCCCUGCCAUAAAUAACAUCUUUGCCACUACAGCUAAAAUGAAGUGUUAUCCUGUAAUCUGUCCAACAUCUGGAUCCCCUGUCAUAACAUCUUUGCCACCUAAUAGCUAGAAUGAAGUGCUAUCCUGGAGCCUGUUGUUGUACAUUGUAAUAAACUUUUGUAUAAAAAAACAAAACAAUGAAUAAAGUGAAUGAAUAAUGCAGUAGCUUGUCUCUAGUAUUCAGCAAUUCCUACCUCAGCUGUGAAUUGAAAGUGAACUGAGUCUGGAAUCCCACCAGAGCCUACUGUUCCAUCUUCAUUGUACUCUGAAUUCUGUACCACUUUGAAUUAAACCAACGCAUUUAAAA